rnacentral:rRNA from 1 species
AGCGAACGCUGGCGGCAGGCUUAACACAUGCAAGUCGAACGCCCCGCAAGGGGAGUGGCAGACGGGUGAGUAACACGUGGGAACGUACCCUUUGGUUCGGAAUAACUUGGGGAAACUCAAGCUAAUACCGGAUAAGCCCUUAUGGGGAAAGGUUUACUGCCGAAGGAUCGGCCCGCGUCUGAUUAGCUAGCUGGUGAGGUAAUGGCUCACCAAGGCGACGAUCAGUAGCUGGUCUGAGAGGAUGAUCAGCCACAAUGGGAAUGAGACACGGACCAGACUCCUGAGGGAGGCGGCAGUGGGGAAUAUUGAAAAAUGGGGGUAACCCUGAUCGAGCCAUGCCGCGUGAGUGAUGAAGGACUUAGGGUUGGAAAGCUCUUUUACCCGGGAAGAUAAUGACUGUACCGGGAGAAUAAGCCCCGGCUAACUUCGUGCCAGCCGCCGCCGUAA